AAAAACAAGUUUAAAUCGAAACUUGCGUUCAAAAAGCGGGUGCCCUGUACAUUAUUAUGUAAUACAGGUGAGCAUUUCGGUGAGAAGUGUUCAGGUAGGACCAAGGUCAGUAGAAGAUGGAGAAGACAGAGGUUCUUGGGAAGGAACGCACUUGCCAAUGAGGAAGUGAGGGGCUUAUUGCAGCUGUCCAAAGGUCUGAACAAGUCCUCAACAAGUAAGACGAAUAGGCAGUGGCUCCCAACUGCUGUUUACCGGAUGAUAGGAUGCAUAGCCGAUUAAAGACAUCAGAUUCAUGUUGGACAUUGCCCGCAGCCAUGCCAAGAUUGUCUCGCUUGUUGAAGUUUGUUUUGUAGUUUAUUUGCAGGAUUGACAUUUGAUAUGAAAUGUAAUUUUUGUCUUGGAUAACAAUAUUCUGUAUCAAAAUAAUUUUUGCACGCAGCAAGAAUUUUUUAACGAAACUUCUGAUCAGAGAAAAAGAAAGAAAUGGAUGGUGUCGACCCUGGUUAUUAA